rnacentral:rRNA from 1 species
AGCAUAUCAUAGCGAGGAAAAGAACCAACCGGGAUUGCCCCAGUAACGGCGAGUGAAGCGGCAACAGCUCAAAUUUGAAAUCUGGGGCCCUUUGGGCGUCCGAGUUGUAAUUUGCAGAGGGAGUCUCGGAGGGCGCGCCGGCCCAAGUGCCUUGGAACAGGAUACCGCAGAGGGUGAGAGUCCCGUAUCCGGCCGGCGUUGCGCUCCGUGUGAGGCCCCUUCGACGAGUCGAGUUGUUUGGGAAUGCAGCUCUAAGCGGGUGGUAAAUUCCAUCUAAAGCUAAAUACUGGCCAGAGACCGAUAGCGCACAAGUAGAGUGAUCGAAAGAUGAAAAGCACUUUGAAAAGAGAGUCAAACAGUACGUGAAAUUGUUGAAGGGGAAGCGCAUGGGGGCAGACUUGAGCGCGGGGUUCAGGGUUUCCAUCUGGAGCCUGUACUUCCCCGCGGGCAGGCCAGCAUCGGUUUCGGGGGCCGGACAAAGGCGACGGGAACGUGGCUCUCUUCGGGGAGUGUUAUAGCCCGGCGCGCAAUGCGGCCACCUGGGACCGAGGACCGCGCUUCGGCAAGGAUGCUGGCGUAAUGGCCUCAUGCGGCCCGUCUUGAAACACGGACCAAGGAGUCUAACAUCUAUGCGAGUGUUUGGGUGGCAAGCCCGGGCGCGCAAUGAAAGUGAACGGAGGUGGGAGCCCUGUGACAGGGGUGCAGCAUCGACCGGUCCGGACGUCUUCCGAAGGAUCUGAGUAAGAGCAUAGCUGUUGGGACCCGAAAGAUGGUGAACUAUGCGUGAAUAGGGUGAAGCCAGAGGAAACUCUGGUGGAGGCUCGCAGCGGUUCUGACGUGCAAAUCGAUCGUCAAAUUUGCGUAUAGGGGCGAAAGACUAAUCGAACCAUCUAGUAGCUGGUUCCUGCCGAAGU